rfam:Schistosoma curassoni strain Dakar, Senegal genome assembly, scaffold: SCTD_scaffold0000228
AUCCUACUGACGAGUCUCAGAUAAGACGAGACGCUCGUCCAGGAU